rnacentral:lncRNA from 1 species
GGGGGGUUGAGGGCUCUACGGGUUUGGUUAAAGGGGUUUUAGGGGGGUGUUAAGGGGGUCUCUAUGGGGUUUGGGGGCCCCCAGGCCCUAUAGGGGGGCUGUGGGGGUCCCUAUAUGGGGGUUUUGGGGGGUCUCUAUGGGGUCUGGCUGCCCCCAGGCCCUAUAUCAGGGUUUUGGGGUCUCUAUAUCAGGAUUUUGGGAUCCCUAUCUGGGUUUUGGGGUCCCUGUGUGGGUUUUGGGGUCCCUGUGUGGGUUUGGGGCCCCCCGGCCCGGCAGCCACCCCCCCGUGUGCAGGCGAGGCGUGCUGGUGGACCAUGCACCCCGCGUCCAAGCAGCGCUCGGAGGGCGAGAAAGUUCGGGUGGGCGACGACCUCAUCCUGGUCAGCGUCUCCUCCGAGCGCUACCUGGUGCGUGUGCAACGGGCGUGCAAGGGGUGUGCAAGGGGCGUGUGACGGGCGUGCGGGGGGGCGUGCAAGGGCCGGGGGUGUGUGGGGUGUGUGUGCAAAGGGUGCGAAAGGGGUGUGCAAGGGCUGGGGGUGUGCAAGGAGGUGAGCAGGGGGCACGCGAGGGGUGUGCAAAGGGUGUGCAAGAGCGGGGAGUGUGCAAGGGGCGUGCAAGGGGUGUGCAAGGGGUGUGCAACGGGCGUACAAGAGCUGGGGGGGUGCAGGGGGUGCGCAAGGAGCAUGCAAGGGGCGUGCGAGGGGCGUGC